GACGAACGCUGGCGGCGUGCUUAACACAUGCAAGUCGAACGGAAAGGCCCUGCGUUUGUGGGGUGCUCGAGUGGCGAACGGGUGAGUAACACGUGAGUAACCUGCCCUUGACUUUGGGAUAACGUCAGGAAACUGGGGCUAAUACCGGAUAGGAGCUCCUGCUGCAUGGUGGGGGUUGGAAAGUUUCGGUGGUUGGGGAUGUACUCGCGGCUUAUCAGCUUGUUGGUGGGGUAGUGGCUUACCAAGGCUUUGACGGGUAGCCGGCCUGAGAGGGUGACCGGCCACAUUGGGACUGAGAUACGGCCCAGACUCCUACGCGAGGCAGCAGUGGUGAAUAUUGCACAAUGGGCGGAAGCCUGAUGCAGCAACGCCGCGUGCGGGAUGACGGCCUUCGGGUUGUAAACCGCUUUCGCCUGUGACGAAGCGUGAGUGACGGUAAUGGGUAAAGAAGCACCGGCUAACUACGUG
rnacentral:rRNA from 1 species